ACGUUUUGAUUCUUUCGAAUUCCUUCCCCCUUUUCCGGCGCUUUGGAUCCCCCAUUCCGACGCUCGAUGGAGGAGCUCGCUUGAGAGUUGAGAUCGACGCGUGCUUCUCGGAUCUGAUUCUUCCAUCGAAGACGGAGUGAGGGGAGGCGUCCGCGGGUUGUCAAGAUCUGGCUGUAGAUCGGACGCCGGUGAUCUCAGGGUCCUAACCAACUCUUUGAUCUCGACGGUGCUGGUAUAGUGUAUCGACAUUUUGGAAUCUCAUUUCGGAAGUUGUUUUUAGCAACCAUGACAGUUAAGCAAUAAUCAAGAGCCACGUUCAGGCAAUUUUCGUCAUCUCCUUCAACUAAGAACCAUUCGAAUAGCUGGAGAAUAAGCUAAUAUCGAUCCCUGGUUUCCAACCUUAACAUAAUUCAGCAUCGACCAUCUCUGAGUAUUCUUCUUGAGAUCGCCGACGUCGUCGUCGUCGUCAUCGUCCAUGAAGCGUUUCCAAAACCAGUGCUGCUUCCAGACGCGGUCGGCCAUCUCCUCGAUGGGGACGUUCUUGGUCUCGGGAAGGAAGAAGAGGACGAAG